rnacentral:rRNA from 1 species
UGAGGAAUUUUGCGCAAUGGGAGCAAUCCUGACGCAGCAACGCCGCGUGGGUGAUGAAGGCCUUCGGGUCGUAAAGCCCUGUCAGGUGGGAAGAAUGUCCCGGGACUGAACAGGUUCCGGGAGUGACGGUACCACCAGAGGAAGCACCGGCUAACUCCGUGCCAGCAGCCGCGGUAAUCCGGAGGGUGCAAGCGUUAUUCGGAAUUACUGGGCGUAAAGCGCGUGUAGGCGGUCCUGCAAGACUGAUGUGAAAGCCCCGGGCUUAACCCGGGAAGUGCAUUUGAAACUGUGGGACUUGAGUACUGGAGAGGAUGGGGGAAUUCCCGGUGUAGAGGUGAAAUUCGUAGAGAUCGGGAGGAAUAUCAGUGGCGAAGGCGCCCAUCUGGACGGUAACUGACGCUGAGACACGAAAGCGUGGGGAGCAAACA